rnacentral:rRNA from 1 species
UACGUAGGGGGCAAGCGUUGUCCGGAAUCAUUGGGCGUAAAGAGCGUGUAGGCGGCCAGAAAAGUCCGCUGUGAAAACUCGAGGCUCAACUUCGAGCUGUCGGUGGAAACUUUCUGGCUAGAGUCCGGAAGAGGCGAGUGGAAUUCCCGGUGUAGCGGUGAAAUGCGCAGAUAUCAGGAAGAACACCAAUGGCGAAGGCAGCUCUCUGGGACGGUACUGACGCUGAGACGCGAAAGCGUGGGGAGCGAACAGG